ensembl:lncRNA
UUCAGGCUUGUUGAUGCAUUUUAUUGUGAGAUGGGGGGAGUCUGGUAAAAAACUAGAAAAUGACCAUGAUGUAACAAGGAACUUAAAAAUGAAGAGUCAGAUCUGUAACUUACAUACAUGAAUACAGGAACAAAUUGGCACAAAAUGUUAAACAUUGUUCCCAACACUGUUUAUAGAAGGUAAUCCUAAUUUGGCUUACUAAGGAAAUGAGAGUUUUAUGGUUAGGCUAAUUUCUUAAUAAAACUGCAGAGCAUCAUGCUAUUAGUCACACAGUGAAUUUCAAAAUUUAAGUUUUAUAUUAAAAACUGGGUAAAGGUAAAAUGACUUGAUUGUAGUUGUAAAACUAAUACAUUCCCAUUUAAGUUCUGUUCUACAGUCCAAGGCAAGUAUAAAUGUUAACAUAACACUGUUAAAUCAAAUCUCAAUGCAGGAGAACCAAUUGCAUCUCUACUUUAAAUCUUAUCAACUUUCCAAAUUUUCAUACUAAAAUAUAUUAUUGUAUUAAUACAAACUACAGUAUUAUACACUACACUGUGUAAUAAAUAAAGAAAUAUAAAAAUAAGACACAUAAAUAUAAAAGUUUUCUAAAACUAAAAGUACAUAUGUCAGUAAGAAGGGUAUUAAUACUGCCAGGUUUGAAGACAUACAGUACAAAAAUGUUGCACAGAUCUAUAAACUAAAAGAAAUAAAAUAAUACUGAUAGGUAAAAAUCAGCUAAUGUUGUUAAUAAAUUGGGUCCAUAAUAACUAACAUUUGGAAACAGUUAUGAGUCAAAUAACAAUGGCAUGUCCAUGUCUGAAAUGCAAGUACAUGGAUAAAGCAGAUUAGAAAAUUUCCCUUUCGUUUCUGUAGAGAAAUUCUGAAAGUCAAUUAACAUAAAAUCAAUACUGAGGAACUGAAGGGAUGAAAUAUCCCAGUGUUUCAGUUUCUCUGACAGAGUCAGUGGUUUUAAGUUUUAUUUGGGAAUUUUGAUACAACAAACAAAUCAACAAAUGCUAGUUAUUGUAGGCCACACAUUGGAUGAAGGCGGGUUAGAGCCUUGAAAAUACUGAGAAAUGGCACUUACAGCACACAGGUCUUGCUUAAGGCCAAAGGAGAUACAAAGCUUCAUGUCAUAUCCUUCAUAUGUUACCACAUAUUCAAACACAAUCACAAACACUGAUUCUGACGAUUUUGCUGUCCUUACCAGAUUAACACUGUUAGUCCCUGCAAUCAGAACUCAAUGGCAAUCUUUUGAACUCCAUUUUAAACCACAUGAGUAAGAAAAUUCAGUUCUUCUAUCAGCUGCUUUCUUAAGGCUAACAAUACACUUUAAAUGAUAAUACGCUCUACUAAGACAUCUAAAUAUUAGAAAUUACUACCUUCUAGAUUGAAUUUAUAAAAGGUAGUUAGCACGGGUUGGAACUA